AUUGAACGCUGGCGGCAUGCCUUACACAUGCAAGUCGAACGGCAGCACGGGUGCUUGCACCUGGUGGCGAGUGGCGAACGGGUGAGUAAUACAUCGGAACAUGUCCUGUAGUGGGGGAUAGCCCGGCGAAAGCCGGAUUAAUACCGCAUACGAUCUACGGAUGAAAGCGGGGGACCUUCGGGCCUCGCGCUAUAGGGUUGGCCGAUGGCUGAUUAGCUAGUUGGUGGGGUAAAGGCCUACCAAGGCGACGAUCAGUAGCUGGUCUGAGAGGACGACCAGCCACACUGGGACUGAGACACGGCCCAGACUCCUACGGGAGGCAGCAGUGGGGAAUUUUGGACAAUGGGCGAAAGCCUGAUCCAGCAAUGCCGCGUGUGUGAAGAAGGCCUUCGGGUUCUAAAGCACUUUUGUCCGGAAAGAAAUCCUUGGCCCUAAUACGGUCGGGGGAUGACGGUACCGGAAGAAUAAGCACCGGCUAACUACGUG
rnacentral:rRNA from 1 species